UGGCAUUUGGCGGUAACCCCUCUUCCUGACCUCCCUUCUCGUUUUUUCAUCGCCAUUCACCCGCGUCGUUGCUUCUCACCCUGCAUCCUCGUCGACGCGUCGCGCAGAACCGUUCGCGUAGCGCGCCUCACUCCUCCGUGCAUCCUUCCCUUCGGUUUAUCGGUGCGCACCAGCCCAGCCCAGCGCAGCCCCGCCCCGCCUUCGGACGCGCGCAUCUAUCUGCGGGACGGGCCGCCGUGAGCUGAGCAUACCACCAUGCACAGUGCUGUCACUUGCAUCAAGAGCCCGGGCGCGGCUCUCUUCACCGACACUGCCACCUGCCGCACCAUCACGUUGAGCCGGCCCGAUGCGUUGAACGCCAUGUCGUUGCCGAUGGUGCAGGACCUGCAUCGCCUGUACAUCACAGAGCCGCACCCGAACGAGGAUGCCGUGUACGUUGUGCGCGGUGACGGGCGGCGCAGCUUCUGUGCUGGUGGCGACCUGAAGGCCCUCACAGGACCCGAGAAAGACACGCACAACCCGCUGUUCUACCGCCUGGAGUACGAGGUGGACUCGCACAUUGCGGUGAUGCGGCGCACGCAGGUGACGAUGUGGGCGGGGCACGUGCUGGGGAGCGGCGUGGGCGUGUCGGUGCACAGCCGUUACCGCGUUGCGUGCGAGACGACGCGGUUCGCGAUGCCGGAGACGCAGAUCGGCGGCGCGAACGACGUUGCGACGAGCUGGGUGUUCUCGUCGCUGCCGAUAUGCGGGCUUGGCAUGUACCUUGCGAUCACGGGCAACACGCUGCAAGGCGCGGACGUGUUCCACGCGGGCCUGGCGACGCACUACAUCCCUGUGGAGAAGUUCGGCGCUGUGGAGGCUGCGCUGGCGGCGCUGCCGUCGUCGGAGGGCGUCGAGGAGUGCCUCCGAGGGUUCAGCGAGGACGUUGCUGUGCCGCCGUUCACGCUGGCGGAGAACGCGCCUGUGCUGGCGAAGGCGUUCGGCGCGAUCACUCCGUCGACGCACCUGCGCGACAUCAUGGAUGUGCUGCGCGCGGACGGCAGCGCGUUCGCUGCGAGCACGCUGAAGGUGAUGGAGCGCAACUCGCCGCUGGGCAUGACGCUUGCGCUGGAGAACAUGAAGCGGCAGCACACACCUGGGUGCAACACCGUGAUGGAGAGCUUCCGUGGCGACUACACGGCGAUUCAGACUUCCAUUUGUGUGGAUGAGCUGGCGAAGGGCGUGGAGGCGCUGUUUGUCACGAAGGAGAAGCGCCCGCAGUGGACGGUGGGGUCCGUGGACGAAGUCGAUGUGGAGCUCGUGAAGCAGCAGUUUGUUAUGACGGAGAGCACGGUGCCCUUGUAGGAAAGGCUCGUCUCACAUAUUCGCGGCUCUGUAGGCGUCGACCUUUCUUUGCCACGAGUGCUGUGCCGGCGCCUUGAUGCCGCAUUGUGCGUGUACACGUGUGGAGUGUGACUGUGGGCGUGUUGGCACUGCAGAAGGUAAAGGACGGUCUUGCUUACGGGGGACCUGCGGCCGGCUCGGCGUGUGCGUUUCCGUUUCAGCUUGCGGGCGCGAGGCCGCGGUUGUGGGGUGUUCACACGCUACCUCUUCUGUGCUUUUUUUUUUCGUAUUCGGUGCAUAUGGGCUAAGCCACCUCCGCACAGUCUACAGCUUAGUGUGUGUAUGCGCUUGGUUUUGUUUUCACGUCUUCGAGUUUAUUGGAUCGGUUGUGGCUGGGCUCUUGUUUCCGGAGAGGAUGCCCUCGCCGAGGGUUAAGGGCACCGCUUCCCACAGAGGGAUGAUGUGCGUCUCAUUUUUGUUCACCGGCUUCCGCUUGGCCUCUUCUGCGCUGUCGCUCACUUCCGCACCCUCUCCCCCAUCUCUCCUGUCCUCCUGCACCCUCCAGUUAUGCUUCGCGUGCGCGCACUGCGGUAGAGUGUGAAGGGUACGCGCAUGCGUGCGAGCCGAAGAGCUGGAGGGAAGGGGGAGCAAGUGAGAAGGAUGGCAGAUGAAGUGGGUAGGGCGCGAGGCGAGGAGUGCUAAGCGUCCAGGCGUCCUUUGUUUUUGUUUUUUACUUUGUGCUUGUGCUUUUCUUCUUUCCGCUAGGGCAUUCAUCCGCUAUACUUCUCCGCGUCAGACGCCGCCCUCGCCUUCUUUUCGUGUUUUGGAAUGCAGUCACGGACAUCUGCAUGCCACACAUCUCCGCGCGCACGAGCGCGCGCACAUAUAAAAUGAUCCGCACGACUGCUGGCGUGCAGGCUUGCGGUGUACUCUUUUCUCUCCGCCUUUUCUCAGGUCUUCCCCUCUUCCCCUCUUCCUGUCUUGCCUUCGAUGCAUCUUUCUCUUUUUGGGCCUCUCGUUUUAACUUGCUCUCUUUGUCUUUAUAUUUGUUUCUCUCCCCGGCUACUCCCCCUCUCGCUCCCUUGCUCGCACGGCGUCGAUGUCCUGGUGCCGUGGUGUGGCAGGUGGCCACGCCUGUUCAUCGGCCUCAGCAAAUAGCUUCCUCGCCUAUCCCUAGUUUUCCCCAUCUCGCUAUCCACGGCAGAACCACCACCUCCCUCCCCCUUACCGAUGUCUGCGGCGGUGGAGAGGUGGUAAAAUGAGGGGCAAAAAGGCAGAACAACAAAUGCGUACGUGGCACAAGGAUGAUGAUGUGGUGGUGGGUCUCGCACCGCGAGUGCAGCGCUGCGUCUCUCUCUCUCUGAAGCUUUUUAACCGACUUUUUCCUGUCACUUUUACGUCUUGUACUCUCUCGUUGUGCACGCAGUGAGGCAUCCUUAUUGCAGCGGUCUUUCUCCACACCCCUCCCCACCUUCUACGCUUCUACCCCUCUCCGCCCCUCCACCCUCCUCGAGCCUGUCAGGACGUACACACCCAGUCUCACAUGUCUGGCUCUGUACAUGUUUUUGCGGGCGACACACGUGCUCGUGGGAACGCACGUUCAUUCGCGGCUGGGCGCUCUCCCUCUUCCACCGCUCGCCUUGAUCUCGGUGCUCGUGUGACUGGGCGGUCAAGAGCGGAUGGAAAGGGGGAGUGGCGGAUGGGUCCGAUGACGUUCAAGGCGAUGCGUGGGCGUUAGGGAGGCAGCCCAAUAUGCUUUGGCCCCUGUGCACUAGGAAUAAGUGGUGUUGUUGGUGGGGGAGGACAAUACCCACUCGUGGGUGUCUGCACACACCCAUAGACAUGCGCACACAUAUGUGCAUUUUUUUUCUCGUUUUUUUUUCGUACUCGUGUUUCAAUGCCUUUCCACGCUAUUCCCGCUUCUAUUCCACACUCCCCCGACUUCCCCCAACUCCCCACACACCCCCACUCCCUCGCCACUCUCUCGCCUCUGUGCUCUCUAACGUUUCCUUGUUUGUCUUCUCUUUGUCUGCCGUUCCUGCGUUUUCGUUUUUGUUUUUGGGCUUCCACCGUCAGUGACUUCGCCACCUUCUUGGCUUCUUCAUCCCUCCCCUCCCCUCUCCUCCCGUUUUCCUCGUCUGUGUGCCCCUUUCCAUGUGUGCGCGCAUGUUUCUGCGUGCCUGCCUGCCUGCCUGUGCGUGUGCGCGUCUUCGCGCUCAUCUUUUUCUCCACCGCCUUGCCUGUCUCCUGAAGCGGGGCGGGUUGGCACGGAAGAGAGCAAGACCGCCGCCCUCACCUUCCCGUUUCAUAACGGCGCCGCCACCACCGUCUCCUCGUUCCUCACAUUCCUGGACAACUCUCAUCCUCCCCUUCUUUUGAUCUACCUUUAUAUGUCUUCUUUCUUUCGCUUUCCUCUUUUUUUUUCUAGUGCGCGCGAUGGUGCCACCAGACCUCCACCGUUUCCGCCUCCGCACCCCCGCCCGCCCACGUCCGGCUUCUCUUUCACAUGCGUCGCCUUGCAAGCGAUCCCAGCAGGGUGGGAUACGUGGAACAGUGGCAGGGAUGAAAGAGUCGGCUUGCUGACCACUCGCGUCUUCGUCACCCACUGAAGGCAAAACCACAAGGCAAUGAAGGGAGCGACACCUGCACAAAAAUCCCUUUCUCCCUCUCUGUGUGCGUGUGUACGCUGGGGCCAAGGUGGACCUUAAGCACCCCGCCCAGUCAGCGCGACGGAGCUCUCGCGGCCAGCACCGCCCAAGCAGCAUGCACAGGUCGAGCUGGAGGAUAGGGAGACCAUUACCACGCGUGCCGGCAUGACGGACGGGGUACUCUCUGGCCGUGCACUUGGCCGCUGCGUCUUCUCUCGUCUCCUCUGCGUGUGGCGGCGCACUCACUUCGUUGCCCUCCCACCCCUGACCGUGCAAGUCAAGUGAACCCUCCAAAACACAUAGACUUUUCCCACGGGCAGAUCGCAUCUGUCCCACCCAACCACUACUGCUCCUCUCUGUCCCUUUAUGCAUCCUUCGGCGCCCUCGUUGCGCGUACAAGACCCCCUCCCCCCUUCCCACGCCCUCCACCCUCCACCACACGCGCGCGCAUCGACAAGGUAUUCCACGCCUACUUCCUCUUCUCUCCAUCAUUCCGCGUCUUCCCCCCCCCCCCCCCCCCCGCACAG
rnacentral:misc_RNA from 1 species